rnacentral:miRNA from 1 species
CAAGGGAAUUCUAUUAGGUUGGUACAAAGGUGAUUGCGGUUUUUGCCACUGAAAUGGCAAAAAUCUCUAUUACCUUUGCACCAACCUAAUAGUU